rnacentral:rRNA from 1 species
UACUAAGGGGGCUAGCGUUGUUCGGAAUCACUGGGCGUAAAGCGCACGUAGGCGGACUUUUAAGUCAGGGGUGAAAUCCCGAGGCUCAACCUCGGAACUGCCUUUGAUACUGGGAGUCUUGAGUGUGGUAGAGGUUGGUGGAACAGCAAGUGUAGAGGUGAAAUUCGUAGAUAUUUGCUAGAACACCAGUGGCGAAGGCGGCCAACUGGACCAUAACUGACGCUGAGGUGCGAAAGCGUGGGGAGCAAACAGG